rnacentral:rRNA from 1 species
CGUAGGAGGCGAGCGUUGUCCGGAUUUACUGGGCGUAAAGCGCGCGCAGGCGGCCAUAUAAGUAAGGUGUGAAAUCUCCCUGCUCAACGGGGAGGGUGCAUUUUAGACUGUAAGGCUUGAGGUCGGUAGAGGGGGGUGGAAUUGCUGGUGUAGCGGUGAAAUGCGUAGAGAUCAGCAGGAACACCCGUGGCGAAGGCGGCCCCCUGGGCCGAUCCUGACGCUGAGGCGCGAAGGCUAGGGGAGCGACCCGGAUUAGAUACCCGGUUAGUCCUAGCAGUAAACGAUGGCUACUAGGUGUGGGGGGUGUUGACCCCUCCUGUGCCGAAGCUAACGCAUUAAGUAGCCCGCCUGGGGAGUACGGUCGCAAGACUA